CUUCUACCUGUUCCUUGCUGGUUUCGUCUGCCUGUGCUGAUUGACCGAUGAAAUCCAUAGGUUCAUCCAUCCUGCUAGAGCAGGAGACUUGCCAUCUGACACCUGCAAGAAUAAUGCACUGUCAAAUGUCACCAUAACCUGAUGCACCCUGCUCAACCCUGAUACACCUACCUACAGAAACAGAAGGCACCCCACAUAACUGCCUGGCUGCAAUUUCAGAGAGGUGAUGUGACAGCACAGCAAGCUUCAAGGACUUCAGUCCCACAGACCUAAACUCCAGAGUUGAUAUUUUUGCAACGGCACAUGAGUACCUCAUCCUUAAAGCUGUGGGGCUUUGUGAGGAAGCAGCGGAUCCUCUCCCAUGGCCAAACCACAGAACGUGGGUUCUCAGUUAAUGAAGAGGUGGAAACAUGGAACAUGGAGGAAGACCACAAUCGUAGCCCAAAGACUUAUCUGCAAUCAUGUGAGAGUGUAUAGUGCACUGACCCACUCUUUAGUAAGUAAAGAGUUGCUAAAUACUGUGCAACUGCACAGAGCAGGUACAGAAUGCACCUGGAUUAGGGAAAAAGGAAAACGACAAGGAAUGAGCAGAUGAUUAAAAGAAAAAUGUGCAGGAGAGGAAACUGAAGAUCUACGGAAGAAAAGAAAAACCAUGUAUGUGAGGCCCUAGAAAAGAUUAAGACAGCUUUGCAGAAAAAGGUGCGAGUACAGCAGUAACUAAAAUGGUAGAUUAUAAAGUCUGAUUAUAAAGUCCAACACAUUGAGAACCCGCUACAAGGAGAAGAGAGUUGAGAAACGUGGAUAGGGAAAUUGAACGAAAAAAGCUAUGAGACAUGUAAUUUGAAACAAAGGAUGUAAUCAGCCAAGGGUAUGUUCCCCAUAGUGACAAAACAGUAAGUAAGAUGAAAGGAAAUGGA